UAGGGAAUCUUCGGCAAUGGACGAAAGUCUGACCGAGCAACGCCGCGUGAGUGAAUAAGGUUUUCGGAUCGUAAAACUCUGUUGUUAGAGAAGAACUAGGACGUUAGUAACUGAACGUCCCCUGACGGUAUCUAACCAGAAAGCCACGGCUAACUACGUGCCAGCAGCCGCGGUAAUACGUAGGUGGCAAGCGUUGUCCGGAUUUAUUGGGCGUAAAGCGAGCGCAGGCGGUUUCUUAAGUCUGAUGUGAAAGCCCCCGGCUCAACCGGGGAGGGUCAUUGGAAACUGGGAGACUUGAGUGCAGAAGAGGAGAGUGGAAUUCCAUGUGUAGCGGUGACAUGCAUCGAUAUAUGGAGGAACACCAGUGGCGAAGGCGGCUCUCUGGUCUGUAACUGAAGCUGAGGCUCGAAAGCGUGGGGAGUAAACAGG
rnacentral:rRNA from 1 species